UACGUAGGGUGCAAGCGUUGUCCGGAAUUAUUGGGCGUAAAGAGCUCGUAGGCGGUGUGUCACGUCUGCCGUGAAAACCUGCGGCUUAACCGUGGGCGUGCGGUGGAUACGGGCAUCACUUGAGUUCGGCAGGGGAGACUGGAAUUCCUGGUGUAGCGGUGGAAUGCGCAGAUAUCAGGAGGAACACCGGUGGCGAAGGCGGGUCUCUGGGCCGAUACUGACGCUGAGGAGCGAAAGCGUGGGGAGCGAACAGG
rnacentral:misc_RNA from 1 species